rnacentral:lncRNA from 1 species
AUGCUCCUGUGGAGUCUGCAGUGGACGAAGCAUUCAGACAAACCCAGCCCGGACGGUCGGACGGAGCGCAGGGUCCGACCCUCCCAUUGCACGAAGGAAAAAGCGGAGAACCGGACGAGGGGACCGACGGGUUCUUCCAGGGGUCACUGGCAGCCCUACGGAGGGAACUCGGGGCUUAAUGAAAGCGCUCACUUCACAGUGGGAGAAGCUGCUGCAGCAUCCUUGGUAAGUAAGAACCAACCCCUCCCUCCAUCCACAAGAGUGUCAGCGAGCUGUUCCGCCGCUGUGGAGACCAGAGAGGCAGGGCAAGUGGAGGCGGCCUUUCCGAAGGCCCUGGAGGCGGGCUCGGUAAUUCAGCUCGGGGCUCCCGCUCCCCCCUGCCUCGGUGCCCGGACGUCCUGCACGGAAACAUUCCAGGGCCUUUAGGAGCGCGCUAAGUCCGGCCAGGGGCCUCCGCGCGAUGGCAGGGCCCCAAGCGAGGCUUUCUGCUAACAGGUUUAUCCUCCCCGAGCAUGUGACACCCCAUAAAAAGCUCCAUUUACAGCUUGGGGCUCCCGUGAACCGAGCGGCUUUAUUUACUUUCCGCAAAUACAGAAGUUGCAUUUUCAAAGCUUGAUUUAAAAUGCCAGAUAAAAUGGAAGCGAAAUCCAGAGCAUUAACAAGCCCCCGGGCUGGGGCCGCCCCGGGCGGACUCGGAAGCCAGGCGGCCCCAGCAGCCUCCAUUCUAAGGAGCAGCCACUGCUGCCGCCCGCGUCCUUUCCAUUAGCCUGGGCCAGCAGAGCAGCCGCAGGGGGGAGGCUGGGAAACGGGUCCCCCCCCACCAAGCAGGGGGCGGAGGAUCUGACGUCACUCGUGGUCCUCGAUGGGCCUGUUUGCAGAGCUCCAGCCUCAGGAGGCGGCCCAGCGCUCCUCUGGGGAGGCUUUCCCUUCCUCCACUUUCAAUAAGCCUUCUUGCAACUCCCAGCUGGGAAGGGACGACGGGAGGGAGGAGGCUUCCGGUUCUGCCUCUGGGACCAAACGAGGGUUAGAUCAAACCGAAUCCCUCCUCUCCGCCCGAGCGAGCCUGACACCUAAAGGCCUCCGCAUGGCUCCAGCUCGCCGCAGCCCACUCCAUCUCUCCCCGGGUCUCCUCUUCUUCAGACUGAGCCGCCCAGGUUCAUCAGCUGAUCCUCAGGGGACAUGACGAGGCCUUUGGCCAUCCGGGCUGUCCUCCUCUGGACACUCCCCAUUUUGUCAACGUCCUUCUUAGAGCCUGGGUAUUGUCUGCCCGGAGAGGCGCAGGAGGGCAUCCCCGACUCCUCCCUGGAGGCGGUGCCUCUCCAGCUGCCGCCUUCUUCCGAGCAAAGCCGCGGCCCUGCCUCCUCCGAGGUUGGCCGGAUCUCCGCCACGUGCGUCCGAAAACUGUCGCUCCUGGAAAGCGGUUUUCAGGUGGGUUGGGGGGGGGGGGGGACCCAAUUUUAGGACUUGACAUUUACUGCUCUUAAGUUCGCUCCGUUAGAUCUGACCCGGCCUUCGAGAUCUUGGGGGAUUGGACGCCGCCCCGCCCAGCUUUGUGGCGUCUGGAGUGGCCACGCUUCGAGAGACUAACUUUGUCUCCGUUAUUUCGCUGGCCAGGAAAUAGGACAGCAAAUGACAGAAGCUCCCACACACACACCAUCUUUGGGCUGUGACUACACACGUCUGGGAGACCCGAAACUCCAAGCCCCCACGGGAGAAGGCACUGUGGGGUCACGGGUGCCCCUGCCUUUGCUUCUGUCUUCCCUGAGGCUCCAUCUUUGUCUCCCAUGAGCCCGAGAGCAGCAGCUGGCCCGUCUGUGGACAGACUCUGCAUCCCAGCAGGCUUUGCCCUGCUGGACCAGGUCUAACCCCCAGGAAAUGCGUAAUGAGAAAAGUAAGGCUGAAAGGUGGCCGGUGGGUUUUUGUUAACUUCAGACAGGCCCAGUUAAAGGGCUUGGGGGGGGGGGGAAGGGGGGGAGGGGGGGAGGAGGUCAGAAGACUUGAGUUCCAAUCCCUUCUCUGCCUUCUCCUGGCUGGAGGAUGCCGGAAAAAUCACUUCCCUUUUCCUCCCUUCAGGCAACUCUCCAAGAGAAGGUCCUCCUAGCCACUUGCUGCAGAGCAUCACAGGGCUGGGUUCUCACCCUUGCUGAUAAAAUCCUGAGACUGGGUUUAGGGGUGGCAAUGACAAUGACAAGGACAAGGACAACAGCGAGGGCAGCAACAACAACAUGCCCCUCCCUCUGGCCUGGGCAGAACAAAUCUGGAGGAUUGUCUUCAGUUCUGACAUGUUAUGGUAGGCAUUGAUAAGCUGAAGUACAUCUGGCAUGGUGAAGUGCCUCUAGUUCAUGUCAGAAUUACAAUCAUUAUAAUCACAGCAGCUAUAAUUUAUACAGCACUUCCUAUGUGCCAGGCACUGUACUAAACACGUUUCACCAUGUAUUGUUUCAUUUGAUCCCCAUAACAACCCUGGGAGGCAGGUGUUAUGAUUAUCCCAAUUUUACAGAUGAGAAAACGGAGGCAAACAGAGGUGAAGUGACUUGCCCAGGGUCACACAGCUAGUAAGAAUCUGAGGUCAAAUAUUUGUUCAGGUCUUCCUGACUGCAGUCUAGUUGCUUAUCCAUUAGGUACCACCUUGCUGCCCCGUGUCACAUGGAGAUUUGUGAAAGGACCUGGAGAUGUGGUACCUUGGACAACAAAAGAGGCAGAGAAGACAAAGCAGCCGUUACCCUGUUUGAGAUGAACCAUAUUAGACCCUACCAGGCAGAAGUAGGAACAACCCAGACUGAAGGUACAAAAAGGCAAUUGUAGGCUUUACAUCAGGGAAAGCUUCCUGUCAAAUAGAAUUUUCUGAGAGUAGAACCGGAUGCCUAUAGUGGGUUUCCCCAUGGUGGAGGAAAUGGCCUGAAUGAAGCAUUGACUACUGCAUAAGUUCAUGAAGUAUAUUACCUUAGACUGUGCACUCAUUGAUUUUCCCCCCUUUUUAUCAGUAGAAUGUUAGAGUCAAAACACUCUUACAUAGCCCAGUCAAGGUGACUAUCUCUCUUAUUAUUUCUUUUUUGAUAAUUUUCCUUACAUAUUUUCAACUUGAGUCCUAAAGUAGUUAAAGGGUACAUUUUUACAUUUUCAUGUUAAAAAUUAGCUCAGAGCCCCCAUUCUAGUUCAUUAGCUAUCACCUAUUCAAUAAACUGGAGAAACUAUUUUUCCCA